GAUCACUGCUAUUGGGAUUCGACUAAGCCAUGCGAGUCGAGAGGGUUCGGCCCUCGGCGAACUGCUCAGUAACACGUGGAUAAUUUGCCCUUAGGUGGAGGAUAACCUCGGGAAACUGAGAAUAAUACUCCAUAGAUCUUAGAGGCUGGAAUGCACUAAGAUUGAAAACUCCGGUGCCUAAGGAUAAGUCUGCGGACUAUCAGGUUGUAGUCAGGGUAAAGGCCUGACUAGCCUACGACGGAUACGGGUUGUGAGAGCAAUAACCCGGAGACGAUAUCUGAGACACGAUAUCGGGCCCUACGGGGCGCAGCAGGCGCGAAAACUUCACAAUGUGCGAAAGCGCGAUGAGGGAAUCCCAAGUGCUUGCUCGUAAGAGUAAGCUGUUUUUAUGUCUAAAAAGCAUGAAGAGUAAGGGCUGGGUAAGACGGGUGCCAGCCGCCGCGGUAAUACCUGCAGCCCAAGUGGUGAUCACUAUAUUGGGCCUAAAACGUUCGUAGCCGGUUUGGUAAAUGCCUGGGUAAAUCGUGUAGCUUAACUAUACGAAUUCCGGGUAGACUGCUAAACUUGAGACCGGGAGAGGCUAGAGGUACUUCUGGGGUAGAGGUGAAAUUCUGUAAUCCUAGGGGGACCACCAGUGGCGAAGGCGUCUAGCUAGAACGGGUCUGUCGGUGAGGGACGAAGCCCUGGGGCGCAAACCGGAUUAGAUACCCGGGUAGUCCAGGGUGUAAACGCUGCUUGCUUGAUGUUAGUCGGGCUCUGAGCCCGAUUAGUGUCGGAGAGAAGUUGUUAAGCAAGCUGCCUGGGAAGUACGGUCGCAAGGCUGAAACUUAAGGGAAUUGGCGGGGGAGCACAGCAACGGGUGGAGCGUGCGGUUUA
rnacentral:rRNA from 1 species